UACGGGGGGGGCAAGCGUUGUUCGGAAUUACUGGGCGUAAAGGGCUCGUAGGUGGCCAACUAAGUCGGACGUGAAAUCCCCAGGCUCAACUUGGGAACUGCGUCCGAUACUGGAUGGCUUGAAUUCGGGAGAGGGAUGCAGAAUUCCAGGUGUAGCGGUGAAAUGCGUAGAUAUCGUAAGGAAGACCAGUGGCGAAGGCGGGUCUCUGGACAGUUCCUGACGCUGAGGCCCGAAGGUCAGGGGAGCAAACGGG
rnacentral:rRNA from 1 species